CCUCCCUGGAGGUCUUAGACUGAGCUUAGGAGGCAAUACCUUGUAUCCAAUAUCAAUUUUUAUCCAUUGGGCCUUGUCAGGUAAUGGUCCAAUUUCUAAUGCAUAGGCAUUCUUAUACUUGGCAACAGUGAAGUACUCCGAGACAUAAUUUUUCAAAUUUGCACCUCUCCUACUACAAAUAAAAGGUGCAGCAUUGAUAAGUGCUGAAUAAUUUAUAAUUUAGUUAUCUUUCCAUAGAACUUAUCAAUGUUCUUAAACCGAUAAAUACAUAUUUUACCACGAAAUUGAAUAAUCAUUUAAAUAAAUUUAAAAUAUGGUAAGAAGUAGAUAAUUCUUUUCUUAAACCAGACUCUGAACUUGUCUCUCUCUUGGUUGCAAUCUUGUUUUAACCCGGUUUGGUAACCUGAUAGAGUUGUAAUCAAGCUAAGAUUAUAAUUAAAUGGGUUUUGGUCCUCAGUAAAUUGAAAGUUAUAAUUAAUUAUUUUUAUAUGGAAAAAAUGUUUGAUUAACCCUUCUUAUUAAGUCACGGUCUUGUUUAUUUUAUCUGGUUGAGUUCAGUCUGAAGCAAUUUAGCGAGAAUUAAAUUUAAAUGACGUUGG
rnacentral:lncRNA from 1 species